CGAUGAAUAAGCACGGCUAAUCCGUGCCAGCAGCGCGGUAAUACGGGAGUGGCAAGCGUAUCGGAAUUAUUGGGCGUAAAGCGUCGCAGGCGGCCCUUCAAGUCUGCUGUUAAAAAGUGGAGCUUAACUCCAUCAUGGCAGUGGAAACUGUUGGGCUUGAGUGUGGUAGGGGCAGAGGGAAUUCCCGGUGUAGCGGUGAAAUGCGUAGAUAUCGGGAAGAACACCAGUGGCGAAGGCGCUCUGCUGGGCCAUCACUGACGCUCAUGGACGAAAGCCAGGGGAGCGAAAGGGAUUAGAUACCCCUGUAGUCCUGGCCGUAAACGAUGAACACUAGGUGUCGGGGGAAUCGACCCCCUCGGUGUCGUAGCCAACGCGUUAAGUGUUCCGCCUGGGGAGUACGCACGCAAGUGUGAAACUCAAAGGAAUUGACGGGGGCCCGCACAAGCGGUGGAGUAUGUGGUUUAAUUCGAUGCAACGCGAAGAACCUUACCAGGGUUUGACAUCCUGCGAAUCUCUUGGAAACAGGAGAGUGCCUUCGGGAACGCAGUGACAGGUGGUGCAUGGCUGUCGUCAGCUCGUGUCGUGAGAUGUUGGGUUAAGUCCCGCAACGAGCGCAACCCACGUCUUUAGUUGCCAGCAUUUAGUUGGGCACUCUAGAGAGACUGCCGGUGAUAAACCGGAGGAAGGUGUGGAUGACGUCAAGUCAUCAUGCCCCUUACAUCCUGGGCUACACACGUACUACAAUGCUACGGACAAAGGGCAGCAAGUUCGCGAGGACAAGCAAAUCCCAUAAACCGUGGCUCAGUUCAGAUCGUAGGCUGCAACUCGCCUACGUGAAGGCGGAAUCGCUAGUAAUCGCAGGUCAGCAUACUGCGGUGAAUACGUUCCCGGGCCUUGUACACACCGCCCGUCACACCAUGGAAGUUGGCCACGCCCGAAGCCGUUACUCCAACCCUUGUGGAGGAGGAC
rnacentral:rRNA from 1 species